UUGUUGGUGUGGUGCUGCGAUGUCUGACUAUUUGUUGGUGUGGUGCUGCGAUGGUCAGACAUCGCAGCACCACACCAACAAAUAGUCAGACAUCUUAGCACCACACCAACAA
rnacentral:pre_miRNA from 1 species